rnacentral:ncRNA from 1 species
UAUGCAUUUGAUUUAUUUGUAAGCCCAAUCCGAUCCGAUUGUACAACGGAGUAUGUGUCCAGCAUAGGCGUCAUCCGCCGUGCCUUUCGUGGUAUUUAUCGGCCAGGCCCCUGUUUCAUGGGGUAAGGGGUAUUGUUCAAGUCCCCGUUUCAUGAGGGCAGGGUUCUGGAAUUUCUGCCCUAUCAACUUUCGAUUGUAAGAUAGAGGCUUACAAUGGUCUUAUUUCCCUCAGGAUAGCAGUAACGUUUUCAGUUUUAUGAUUGUAAGAUAGAGGCUUACAAUGGUCUUAACGGGUGACGGGGAAUUAGGGUUCUAUUCCGGAGAGGGAGCCUGAGAAACGGCUACCACAUCCAAGGAAGGCAGCAGGCGCGCAAAUUACCCAAUCCCGACACGGGGAGGUAGUGACAAUAAAUACUGAUACGGGGGCUCUUUCAGGUCUCGUAGUUGGAAUGAGUAUAGUCUAAAUCCCCUAACGAGGAACAAUUGGAGGGCAAGUCUGGUAAUAGUAUGUGCUCAGUGACAAU